UCCGAAUUGGUGUAAUGGUUAACAUUUGACGCUCUCACUGGCUCCUCUUCCCCGAGGAUACCCACUGUUCCGUCAAGCUCGGGGUUCGAUUCCCCGAUUCGGAG